rnacentral:rRNA from 1 species
GAUGAACGCUAGCGGGAGGCCUAACACAUGCAAGCCGAGCGGUAGAGAUUCUUCGGAAUCUUGAGAGCGGCGUACGGGUGCGGAACACGUGUGCAACCUACCUUUAUCUGGAGGAUAGCCUUUCGAAAGGAAGAUUAAUACUCCAUAAUAUAUUUGAUGGCAUCAUUAAAUAUUGAAAGCUCCGGCGGAUAGAGAUGGGCACGCGCAAGAUUAGAUAGUUGGUGAGGUAACGGCUCACCAAGUCAAUGAUCUUUAGGGGGCCUGAGAGGGUGAUCCCCCACACUGGUACUGAGACACGGACCAGACUCCUACGGGAGGCAGCAGUGAGGAAUAUUGGUCAAUGGGUGCAAGCCUGAACCAGCCAUCCCGCGUGAAGGACGACUGCCCUAUGGGUUGUAAACUUCUUUUGUAUAGGGAUAAACCUACUCUCGUGAGAGUAGCUGAAGGUACUAUACGAAUAAGCACCGGCUAACUCCGUGCCAGCCGCCGCCGUAAAAC